UUCGCAAUGCCCGAAAGGGUGACGAAGCGACGCCGCGUGUGGGAAGAAGGCCUUCGGGUUGUAAACCACUGUCGGGAGUUAAGAAAUGUAAGGGUGUUAAUAGUAUCCUUACUUGACUAAGGCUCCGGAGGAAGCCACGGCUAACUCUGUGCCAGCAGCCGCGGUAAUACAGAGGCGGCAAGCGUUGUUCGGAAUUAUUGGGCGUAAAGAGCACGUAGGCGGCUGUGUAAGUCGGUUGUGAAAGCCUUCUGCUCAACGGAAGAACAGCAGCCGAUACUGCAUGGCUUGAGUGCGGGAGGGGAGAGCGGAACUUCUGGUGGAGCGGUGAAAUGCGUAGAUAUCAGAAGGAACGCCGGCGGCGAAAGCGACUCUCUGGCCCGUAACUGACGCUGAGUGUGCGAAAGCUAGGGGAGCAAACGGGAUUAGAUACCCCGGUAGUCCUAGCCGUAAACGAUGGGCACUAAGUAGAGGGGUUUU
rnacentral:rRNA from 1 species